GGUUGGAUGACAUCACCGACUCAAUGGACUUAUCUGUGGACAUCUUGGCACCUCUACAAACUAUAAUCUCCCUGAAGCCUGAAUGAGCCUGGAAGAAGGGGCCCCUAAACCUCACAAGAUGGAUCACAGCUCCAACUAACAAGUUAAUUUCAGCCUGGUGAGAUCCUGAGCAGAAUGCCCAGGUAAACCCUGUCCAGAAUCCAGACCCUAGACCCUCAGAAACUGUCAGUUAAUAAACAUUCUGCUCCAAGCCACAAAAUUUCUGGUAAUUCAUUUCUUGGCAAUAGAAAGCUAAUUCACACCCAGUAGUCAGUGUAAUCAAUGGGCUGAUAAGCAAGAGCUCGGAGGCAGAUGCCCAUUUGUCUUUGUCAACAAACAUAAUAAAGACCGUUUCACCAAAGCUGCGUGGUCAAGGCUGCAUAUGCAGUUAUCAAAGUUGAACAUGGAACAGCCUUGGGCGCACCCUGGGAGAUGAAGCCAGCAGAACAAGGGAAGCAGAGAUCAGUGCGUUCAAGUCCCAGAUUUCAUUCUCUCUUGCCCGCCUCAGAGUCUGGUCAUCUUAAGUUCUUUGAAGGCAUCCCCUGGAUUGGCACUCGUGCCAUCGCUCCUCCUCCCAGACUAGUAAACAGCAUCACUGGGAUUUACGCAGUCUAGCGCCGGAGUCUGUUCUCCUG
ensembl:lncRNA